rnacentral:rRNA from 1 species
AACGAACGCUGGCGGCAGGCCUAACACAUGCAAGUCGAGCGAACCGCAAGGUUAGCGGCGGACGGGUUAGUAACGCGUGGGAACGUGCCCAAAGGUACGGAAUAGCCUCGGGAAACUGAGAGUAAUACCGUAUGUGCCCGAAAGGGGAAAGAUUUAUCGCCUUUGGAUCGGCCCGCGUUGGAUUAGGUAGUUGGUGGGGUAACGGCCUACCAAGCCGACGAUCCAUAGCUGGUUUGAGAGGAUGAUCAGCAACACUGGGACUGAGACACGGCCCAGACGCCGACGUGAGGCAGCAGUGGGGAAUCUUAGACAGUGUGGGAAACCCUGAUCUAGCCAUGCCGCGUGAGCGAUGAAGGCCUUAGGGUUGUAAAGCUCUUUCACCGGGGAAGAUAAUGACGGUACCCGGAGAAGAAGCCCCGGCUAACUCCGUGCCAGCCGCCGCAGUAAUAC